rnacentral:rRNA from 1 species
GAUGAACGCUGGCGGCGUGCCUAAUACAUGCAAGUCGAGCGAACGGACGAGAAGCUUGCUUUUCUGAUGUUAGCGGCGGACGGGUGAGUAACACGUGGAUAACCUACCUAUAAGACUGGGAUAACUUCGGGAAACCGGAGCUAAUACCGGAUAAUAUUUUGAACCGCAUGGUUCAAAAGUGAAAGACGGUCUUGCUGUCACUUAUAGAUGGAUCCGCGCUGCAUUAGCUAGUUGGUAAGGUAACGGCUUACCAAGGCAACGAUGCAUAGCCGACCUGAGAGGGUGAUCGGCCACACUGGAACUGAGACACGGUCCAGACUCCUACGGGAGGCAGCAGUAGGGAAUCUUCCGCAAUGGGCGAAAGCCUGACGGAGCAACGCCGCGUGAGUGAUGAAGGUCUUCGGAUCGUAAAACUCUGUUAUUAGGGAAGAAAAGAUGUGUAAGUAACUGUGCACAUCUUGACGGUACCUAAUCAGAAAGCCACGGCUAACUACGUG